rnacentral:rRNA from 1 species
UACGUAGGGUGCGAGCGUUGUCCGGAAUUAUUGGGCGUAAAGAGCUCGUAGGCGGUCUGUCGCGUCGGAUGUGAAAAUCCAGGGCUCAACCCUGGACCUGCAUUCGAUACGGGCAGACUAGAGUUCGGUAGGGGAGACUGGAAUUCCUGGUGUAGCGGUGAAAUGCGCAGAUAUCAGGAGGAACACCAACGGCGAAGGCAGCUCGCUGGGACGGUACUGACGCUGAGGCGCGAAAGCGUGGGGAGCGAACAGG